rnacentral:rRNA from 1 species
ACCCGCUGAACUUAAGCAUAUCAAUAAGCGGAGGAAAAGAAACCAACAGGGAUUGCCCUAGUAACGGCGAGUGAAGCGGCAACAGCUCAAAUUUGAAAUCUGGCCCUUUCAGGGUCCGAGUUGUAAUUUGUAGAGGGCGCUUUGGUGUUGGCUGCGGUCUAAGUUCCUUGGAACAGGACGUCACAGAGGGUGAGAAUCCCGUACGUGGUCGACAGUCUUCACCGUGUAAAGCCCCUUCGACGAGUCGAGUUGUUUGGGAAUGCAGCUCUAAAUGGGAGGUAAAUUUCUUCUAAAGCUAAAUAUUGGCCAGAGACCGAUAGCGCACAAGUAGAGUGAUCGAAAGAUGAAAAGCACUUUGGAAAGAGAGUCAAAAAGCACGUGAAAUUGUUGAAAGGGAAGCGCUUGCAAUCAGACUUGCCUGUAGUUGCUCAUCUGGACUCUUGUCCGGUGCACUCUUCUGCGGGCAGGCCAGCAUCAGUUCAGGCGGCUGGAUAAAGGCCUCUAUCACGUAUCUUCCUUCGGGAUGACCUUAUAGGGGAGGUGUAAUGCAGCCAGCCUGGAUUGAGGUCCGCGCAUCUGCUAGGAUGCUGGCGUAAUGAUUGUAAGCGGCCCGUCUUGAAACACGGACCAAGGAGUCUAACAUCUAUGCGAGUGUUUGGGUGUCAAGCCCGGACGCGCAAUGAAAGUGAACGGAGGUGGGAACCCUCACGGGUGCACCAUCGACCGAUCCUGAUGUCUUCGGAUGGAUUUGAGUAAGAGCAUAGCUGUUGGGACCCGAAAGAUGGUGAACUAUGCCUGAAUAGGGUGAAGCCAGAGGAAACUCUGGUGGAGGCUCGCAGCGGUUCUGACGUGCAAAUCGAUCGUCAAAUUUGGGCAUAGGGGCGAAAGACUAAUCGA